rnacentral:tRNA from 1 species
GCGGUCGCGGCGGAAUUGCUAGACGCGCUAGAUUCAGGUUCUAGUGGUGUAACAACGGAGGAGGUUCGAGUCCUCUUGGAUGCA